rnacentral:rRNA from 1 species
GACGAACGCUGGCGGCGUGCUUAACACAUGCAAGUCGAACGGAAAGGCCUCUUUCGGGGGGUACUCGAGUGGCGAACGGGUGAGUAACACGUGAGUAACCUGCCCUUGACUUUGGGAUAACUUCAGGAAACUGGGGCUAAUACCGGAUAGGAGCUCCUGCUGCAUGGUGGGGGUUGGAAAGUUUCGGCGGUUGGGGAUGGACUCGCGGCUUAUCAGCUUGUUGGUGGGGUAGUGGCUUACCAAGGCUUUGACGGGUAGCCGGCCUGAGAGGGUGACCGGCCACAUUGGGACUGAGAGACGGCCCAGACUCCUACGGGAGGCAGCAGUGGGGAAGAUUGCACAAUGGGUGGAAGCCUGAUGCAGCAACGCCGGGUGCGGGAUGACGGCCUUCGGGUUGUAAACCGCUUUCGCUCAUGACGAAGCUUUGUGUGACGGUAGUGGGUAAAGAAGCACCGGCUAACUACGUG